UACGUAGGGGGCAAGCGUUGUCCGGAAUCAUUGGGCGUAAAGAGCGUGUAGGCGGCUCGGUAAGUCCGCUGUGAAAGUCCAGGGCUCAACCCUGGAAUGCCGGUGGAAACUGUCGAGCUAGAGUCCGGAAGAGGCGAGUGGAAUUCCUGGUGUAGCGGUGAAAUGCGCAGAUAUCGGGAGGAACACCUGUGGCGAAAGCGGCUCACUGGACCAUUACUGACGCUGAUGCUCGAAAGCUAGGGGAGCAAACAGG
rnacentral:rRNA from 1 species